rnacentral:miRNA from 1 species
AGAGGCAGGCAGAUCUCUAUGAGUUCGAGGCCAGCCUGGUCUACAGAAUGAGUUCCAAGACAGCCAGGACUACACGGAGAAACUCUGCCUCAAAAA